CGCAGGCGAGGGCGUAACGAUACAAUAGUAGCCUUAGUUACGCCUGUUAAUCAAAACAGUGAAAAUGGGACAUAAAAAAUAAAUGGUAUGGAUAAUUUACCCACAGAUGUACAUUGUUGUAUGAAAAUCUCCAAAGAGCUAAGCCUUUGCUAGUAACCCGUGACUAGCGCCAUCGAGCAAGAGAUUACCUUUUUUAAAUCAAACGGUAACCAAUUCUCAGACUAGCAGUUCAGUCUCGGUACAGAAUAUAGUUCAUUUCGUUCACGUAUUUCAUUUCGAAUGUGGUAAAUUUAUCAACAAAGUACCGGACUAUUCCCUGUACGGGACUGACUAAUGGAGACCGGAUUUCUACAAUGUUUGGCUGAGGAUUUCUACGAGACAUUUACGUAAGAUAUCACAGUGGAAUAUUAUGAUACCACUAUGAACGCUGGACGAACUGCAUAAAAUAUUCAACGAGAAAAAAUCUAAUUUUCAUCAGAACGUCAUCUAUGCAAUUGGUUUUUUCGGAAGAUUGAGCCGAUGUGCAAGAAGUCUGAAAUGUCGGCCAGCUUCAAGACAAACAAGGCAAAAUCAGAUUAAUUUAGACCAAUAGUUUUCAA